UUACCGAGUUUACAACUCCCAAACCCCUGUGAACAUACCUUAUGUUGCCUCGGCGGAUCAGCCCGCGCCCCGUAAAAAGGGACGGCCCGCCGCAGGAACCCUAAACUCUGUUUUUAGUGGAACUUCUGAGUAUAAAAAACAAAUAAAUCAAAACUUUCAACAACGGAUCUCUUGGUUCUGGCAUCGAUGAAGAACGCAGCAAAAUGCGAUAAGUAAUGUGAAUUGCAGAAUUCAGUGAAUCAUCGAAUCUUUGAACGCACAUUGCGCCCGCCAGUAUUCUGGCGGGCAUGCCUGUUCGAGCGUCAUUUCAACCCUCAAGCCCAGCUUGGUGUUGGGAGCUGCAGUCCUGCUGCACUCCCCAAAUACAUUGGCGGUCACGUCGAGCUUCCAUAGCGUAGUAAUUUACACAUCGUUACUGGUAAUCGUCGCGGCCACGCCGUUAAACCCCAACUUCUGAAUGUUGACCUCGGAUCAGGUAGGAAUACCCGCUGAACUUAAGCAUA
rnacentral:rRNA from 1 species